AACAAACGCUGGCGGCGUGCCUAAUACAUGCCAGUCGAACGGGGUAGCAAUACCUAGUGGCGCACGGGUGAGUAACGCGUGGAUAAUCUGCCUUAGAGUGGGGGAUAACUAGUCGAAAGAUUAGCUAAUACCGCAUAAGACCACAAGAGCUGCGGCUCAAGGGGUCAAAGGUUUUUCGCUCUAAGAUGAGUCCGCGUAAGAUUAGCUAGUUGGUGAGGUAAUGGCUCACCAAGGCGACGAUCUUUAACUGGUCUGAGAGGAUGAUCAGUCACACUGGAACUGAGACACGGUCCAGACUCCUACGGGAGGCAGCAGUAGGGAAUAUUGCACAAUGGAGGAAACUCUGAUGCAGCGACGCCGCGUGAGUGAUGAAGGCCUUCGGGUCGUAAAGCUCUGUCGCAGGGGAAUAACACAAUGAAUGUACCCUGUAAGAAAGGAUCGGCUAACUUCGUG
rnacentral:rRNA from 1 species